rnacentral:rRNA from 1 species
AUGGCGAGCAUGAUCAGAGUGGAGUGGUACAUUAGAAGGGACUUUUAUGGUCAUGUGUCACGAUGGUGCAACUGGUCCUUCGCGCACCACUGUAGCCACAGCUCUCUCCGCACCAUCUGCGGAGCUGCCAGGGGAUGCUCAUCCCUUUCUCUCAUGGCCACCUCCCCCGCCUCCUCCAAGCCAAAAAAGCCUGCAGUUGCCGCUGCGCCAGAGCCCGUUGUCAAUGUCUCGCUUGAGAAAACUGUUCACUGCAGCUUUGGCUCCAAGAUAAGAGAUUUUGCAUUUGUAGGCACAACAAGGCUCAUGAUCGGCACUGAUGCGGGAAUAGAAAUACUGGACAUCGAUAUAGAGUCACUAGCAUAG